rnacentral:rRNA from 1 species
UACGUAGGUGGCAAGCGUUGUUCGGAAUUAUUGGGCGUAAAGGGCGCGUAGGCGGUUUGUUAAGUCGGCUGUGAAAGCCCCCGGCUCAACUGGGGAGGGUCAUUCGAUACUGAUCGACUGGAAGGCAGGAGAGGGAAGCGGAAUUCCCGGUGUAGUGGUGAAAUGCGUAGAUAUCGGGAGGAACACCAGUGGCGAAGGCGGCUUCCUGGCCUGUUCUUGACGCUGAGGCGCGAAAGCUAGGGGAGCAAACGGG